rnacentral:rRNA from 1 species
AAUGAACGCUGGCGGCAGGCCUAACACAUGCAAGUCGAACGAGAGCUUCGGUACUAGUGGCGCACGGGUGUGUAACGCGUGGGAACGUGCCCUUAUAUGCGGAAUACUACUGGGAAAUGGGGGGUAAUACCGGGUAAGCUAUUCUGAGAAAAGAUUUAUCGAACGAGGAUAGGCGCGCGUUGGAUUAGCUUGUUGGUGGGGUAAUAGCCUACCAAGGCGUCGAUCCAUAGCUGGUUUGAGAGGAUGAUCAGCCACACUGGGGCGGUGACACGGCCCAGACUCCUACGGGAGGCAGCAGUGGGGAAUCUUGGACAAUGGGGGGAACCCUGAUCUAGCUAUGCCGGGUGAGUGAUGAAGUCCUUAGGGUUGUAAAGCUCUUUCAGCCGGGAAGAUAAUGACGGUACCAGCAGAAUAAGCCCCGGCUAACUCCGUG